UACGGAGGGAGCUAGCGUUGUUCGGAAUUACUGGGCGUAAAGCGCACGUAGGCGGCUUUGUAAGUUAGAGGUGAAAGCCCGGGGCUCAACCCCGGAAUUGCCUUUAAGACUGCAUCGCUUGAAUCCAGGAGAGGUGAGUGGAAUUCCGAGUGUAGAGGUGAAAUUCGUAGAUAUUCGAAAGAACACCAGUGGCGAAGGCGGCUCACUGGACUGGUAUUGACGCUGAGGUGCGAAAGCGUGGGGAGCAAACAGG
rnacentral:rRNA from 1 species